GAAUCCUUGACUUCAGGUCCUUCUCAUGCUAUUGACAUAACAAGGGAGGUACACAUUUUCCUUGAAAGCCAUAAGGGAGGGAGCUGAUGCUGUGAUAGCAGUUGGAGGUGAUGGUACGCUUCAUGAGGUGUGUUUUUUCUUCCUUCAUCCAUCAAGUAAAGUUCUUAGUUUUCAAUCUCCAUCCAUAAAAGGUUAUUCAUGCCUUGCUGUGAAUUCAUGGGAAGGGGAAUUCAGUCUUGGAGGCAGAAAGUACAAACGACAAGCUUCAAAAUUGAAGAGGCCAUACUUUGAAGUGCAGCCAUUAUGUUCUGUCAACUUUCCCGGAAAGCAUUCCCCUACCAUGUGUCAUUUACUGCCAUGGAAAUAGUUUGUCAGAAAAUGCAUAUGUUCUUGUGGCAGAGGUAUUGAAGAAUGCAUAUAUUCUAUAGGCAUUAAGCUCCCUUGUUGGUUCACUACUUGAGAAAGAAAAGGAUCUUCAACUUCUCUCUGACUGGUCCAAUUCCUCCUACUUGGGUAAUUUGACCAUGCUCAAAAUUUUGCAUUUUUUUUAUAAAUCAGAACUCUAGGUAUGCAUAUCCUUUAUCUUUCUUGUAUGUAGUUACAUGUCGAAUUUCUUUGUUCUUUGCUUCUCAAUCCCGUAGAUGUUGAUAAAGUAAAAGAAAGAUAAUUCAUCCUUCUCUUCCUCUGGCCAUUUCAUAGGUUUUUGAAUUCAUGGAAAGAAAUGUUCUUUAUCAUUAGUGCUACUUUCGCCAGGUUUUCUCUGUCAUACAGGUUAUGGCUAUCAAAGAUAUAAUAUCACCUCCUUAUAGGGAAACAUUUAAUCAUGUGUAUAG